UUUGCACAGUGCAGGGUAGAAUUACAGUUGAACCAACAACUGCUGUUAUAUUCACUGGUGUAUCCAGAAAUUUGACACAUCUGCUCCAUUGAUCAGUGAGCUCAGGACUGUCAGGACUGAUCAACAACAGCUGGGAACUAUCAUUUCCCUAAAACACUCUGGUCUUAAGUCCUGCACAAUCCUGAACUGCCUUAUGAUGCAGCAGUACUAGACAAGCUGGAAUAGCUUGAGCUCAAAAAUCUAACCAAAUGACGCCAUUGUGCUGCAAAAUUUGAGAGAGAGUGUUUCUGAAAGACAGAAUUUUGAACAUUUUUUAAAGGGGAUAGCGGUCGUUUUUUUUUCAAGAAUAAUUAUAGAAAUAAGCUUUAAACUGGUAUAUUUUGUAAAGUUUGACAUAAUUGCAAAUAAAUUUAUGCCUAAGGGACAUUUCUGUGUAAUUAUAUUAUCAAUUUUGUGAAUUUAGUUGAUUUUUAGACCUCAUUAUAUUUAGAUGUAAAAAAAAAUUUCAGUUGAGUGAGUGUGGUUAAUCUAAUGACGUGAUGUAAAUGUCUAGUGCUAUUAAUUUUUAUAUUUUUUAAUUCCUCGAUUGUUAAGCAAUAAAAUUGAUAUAUAAUAUGUCAA